AUUGAACGCUGGCGGCGUGCUUAACACAUGCAAGUCGAACGCGAAAGGGGCUUCGGCCCUGAGUGCAGUGGUGCACGGGUGAUUAACGCGUGGAUAAUCUGCCCUUCUGAUCGGGAUAACAGUCUGAAACGGCUGCUAAUACCGGAUACGCUCAAGAUGAACUUUUUGAGGAAAGAUGGCCUCUGCUUGCCUGCUAUCGCGUACUGAUGACUCCGCGUCCCAUUAGCUUGUUGGCGGGGUAACGGCCCACCAAGGCAACGAUGGGUAGCCGAUUUGAGAGGAUGAUAGGCCACACUGGAACUGAAACACGGUCCAGACUCCUACGGGAGGCAGCAGUGGGGAAUAGUGCGCAAUGGGCGAAAGCCUGACGCAGCGACGCAGCGUGAGGGAUGAAGGUGUUCGGAUCGUAAACCUCUGUCAGAAGGGAAGAAACGACAUUGUGCUAAUCAGCAGUGUACUGACGGUACCGGCAAAGGAAGCACCGGCUAACUACGUG
rnacentral:rRNA from 1 species